rnacentral:rRNA from 1 species
UCUCCUACGGGACGCAGCAGUGGGGAAUAUUGCACAAUGGGGGAAACCCUGAUGCAGCGACGCCGCGUGAGUGAAGAAGUAUUUCGGUAUGUAAAGCUCUAUCAGCAGGAACGAGACAAGACGGUACCUGACUAAGAAGCCCCGGCUAACUACGUGCCAGCAGCCGCGGUAAUACGUAGGGGGCAAGCGUUAUCCGGAUUUACUGGGUGUAAAGGGAGCGUAGACGGCAGUGCAAGUCUGGAGUGAAAGGCGGGGGCUCAACCCCCGGACUGCUCUGGAAACUGUACGGCUGGAGUGCAGGAGAG